AGUCAGGUUCACCUGCGCUAUAGUUAGUAUACGCUAAGCAUAGUUAGUCUGUGUAACCUGUCGAAAGUGUGCCAAGUUUCUUGACUACACCAUCACCGGGCAAAUAACGCUUUUAAGGCGGUGUUAUUAUAACACAACACAGACUUCGUUUCCCGCUUGUUUUUGUUCUUCUUUCUUAAAGAGUGCCAACCUUCGUUGACGUUACUACCGUUUUCCCAAGAGUACAGUGGUUUGUUAUGGUUUUGUCAAGACUAUUAUUUCUAAGAUAUUUUUUGUACUCCAUCUUGUCUAUUUUCUGCUUUCCACCUCCAUUGCAAAGCUUUUUAACGAUGUCGUUUUGCUCUUUGCACUUUUACUGGGCUCCACAGUUCACGUGUAAUCUCUUCUCUUCAUUUUAGCACUUUCGUUGUUACGAGAUUCAUAUAUAGACUGACAGACAUAUAUGUGAAGAAGGCACAAACCCUUCAACUGCUGCAUUAGAUGCAAGGAAUGAUAUGAGCAAAUCCGAAGUGCCUUCGGAGACGGGUGGAUUGCCGAAUAUUACUCUUGCUGUGAAAGAUGGUUUCGAACCACAUGGUGCAAAUCGUGCAAUGAUUUACUACAUUAAAAAAUAUUACAAGAAACCUAUAAUAUCAUACAAGGAAGCACCGCUCAAGGUUAAGGAAGUAUGGUUUAAUGAGUUGAAGAAAAAGUACGGAUGGAUUCUUGAGCAUGACGUUGCCAUUCAAUGCAAUUUUGAUGUAAAGGCUUCUGAAAGACUCUCGAAUACCCUUUAUGAUGUUCGUGCGGAAAAAUCCCGUCCCGUCCAAAUUGGAUCACGCCAGAAGUGUACAAAGAAAGAAAAACAUGGUGGGCAGGAGCCUAGUCCUGACUUGUUAUAUCGAGAAACACACACGUAGAAGAAAACUGGCAAAUAUGUUUCUAUGAAAGCACAAAAGGUUAUGGAGACUGUAGAACAACUGAAAUUGACUCAACCAACAACGAGAUGUGGUUAAAGGCUGUUGGUGGACCCAAAAAAGGGUGGCCAAGUACCCAGUUUCGAUAAUGAUGCUGCUUUUUACUUCCCUAGUGUUUCCUCACAUCCUCAUCAACUACAUCCUAUGAGACUGAGGAUCUACAUCAACGGGUAGCUAAACUUGAAAAUACUAAACGUCUCUUCAUGGUUGCAUUCAAAAAGAUAUUAGGAAUCAAUUACCCUUCUAUUUUUCAAUCUGAUCAAGAAAUGGUUAAUACUGGGAGACAUGUUAAUGAUGCUAAUCAGUCAGUUGGUGUAGAUGGUGAUGGCACAAGAGUUACGACAAUAGAUGAUGGGGGCAUGGUAUUGCCAAGGGAAAAUGAAUAGUUGUGUUAUGGUGAUGGCACAGGUGCUAGAAAGCAGGGUACCUUUUUAUGUGAUGCCAAGGGAAAAUGCUAUUGUUUGUUAUGCCCUUUUUUUGUAACUAAUUCCAUAUGGAGGCAGAGUACCUUUUUGGUAAUGCCUUUUUGUAAACAGAUUGAUAUAUGUUUCUUUUGUAACUGAUCCCGAAGGCAAGAUAUCAUUUUUUUGUGAUGCCUUUUUGCAAUGAAACGAAAUGUAAUUAAAUGAAAUGAUGAUGAAUAUUAAGUGAUGUUAGUAA